rnacentral:lncRNA from 1 species
UCUUCACCUAAGGCCGUCCCUGCCUUUUCUCUUUGGCUUGCCAUCAGCGGUCUGUGCCAGGCCCUUUCGGACACCCAGUGCUUGGGGCUGCAGUGUGGUUGGUAAUGUGGAGUCUGCUUGUCAUCCUCAGCAUCCAGCCAUGCCCUGAUGUAAAGUAUGGCAAACGUAUCCAUGUGCUACCCAUUGAUGACACAGUGGAAGGCAUCACUGGCAAUCUUUUUGAGGUAUACCUUAAGCCGUACUUCCUGGAAGCAUAUCGGCCCAUCCGUAAAGGUGAGAGAAACUGAGUUUAAGAACAGUUGUUACUUGAGUAAACUUUUAACAAUUCCAUGUUAUUUUCAUGUGUCUGAGUAUUAUGUAUAGCUAUAAUCUGCACACAUAUUCAAUUGUCAGCUCUCUUACCUCCCUUCUGUGCUCUAGUAUAGUAAGCAGUUCUCAUGU